rnacentral:rRNA from 1 species
UACAGAGGUCUCAAGCGUUGUUCGGAUUCAUUGGGCGUAAAGGGUGCGUAGGUGGCCUGGUAAGUUGAAGGUGAAAUCUCGGAGCUCAACUCCGAAACUGCCUUCAAUACUGCUGUGCUUGAGGACUGUAGAGGAGAAUGGAAUUCACGGUGUAGCAGUGAAAUGCGUAGAUAUCGUGAGGAAGACCAGUGGCGAAGGCGAUUCUCUGGGCAGUUCCUGACACUGAGGCACGAAAGCUAGGGGAGCAAACGGG